rnacentral:misc_RNA from 1 species
GAAGAAAACGCCAAUACACAACCGAGAGAGUUGAACGCGUCGCUGCCAACCUUGUUUUAGGCUCCUAGUAGAACGUGGCAUGGAAAAUGAGAAAGUUGAUCGCGCCAUGGCCAGUGUUUACAAUGACGAAGAAGAUGAGCAGGAAGAGCAGAAGGUGGAGAAGUUUUUCGCUUUGAUUAGAGGCUUUCAGGAAGCCCGUAAUAAUCGAAGAAAAGAUCAAGUGUUGGAAGAGGAGGAGAGAAAGAAGAAGGUUAAAAGAUUAAAUGAUUCGCAGCCCAGUUCAAGUUGGGUACCUUCUUUCGAAUGG